AACGAACGCUGGCGGCAGGCCUAACACAUGCAAGUCGAACGCCCCGCAAGGGGGAGUGGCAGACGGGUGAGUAACACGUGGGAACCUUCCCUAUAGUACGGAAUAGCCCAGGGAAACUUGGAGUAAUACCGGUAUACGCCCGAAGGGGAAAGAAUUUCGCUAUAGGAUGGGCCCGCGUAGGAUUAGCUAGUUGGUGAGGGUAAUGGCUCACCAAGGCGACGAUCCUUAGCUGGUUUGAGAGAACGACCAGCCAC
rnacentral:rRNA from 1 species